rnacentral:rRNA from 1 species
GAUGGACGCUGGCGGCGUGCCUAAUACAUGCAAGUCGAGCGAACGGACGAGAAGCUUUCUUCUCUGAUGUUAGCGGCUGACGGGUGAGUAACACGUGGAUAACCUACCUAUAAGACUGGGAUAACUUCGUGAAACCGGAGCUAAUACCGGCUGAUAUUUUGAACCGCAUGGUUCAAAAGUUAAAGACGGUCUUGCUGUCACUUAUAGCUGGAUCCGCGCUGCAUUAGCUAGUUGGUAAGGUAACGGCUUACCAAGGCAACGAUGCGUAGCUGACCUGAGAGGGUGAUCGGCCACACUGGAACUGAGACACGGUCCAGACUCCUACGGGAGGCAGCAGUAGGGAAUCUUCCGCAAUGGGCGAAAGCCUGACGGAGCAAUGCCGCGUGAGUGAUGAAGGUCUUCGGAUCGUAAAACUCUGUUAUUAGGGAAGAACAGAUGUGUAAGUAAAUGUGGACAUCUUGACGGUACCUAAUCAGAAAGCCACGGCUAACUACGUG